UUUAAGUAUAAUUGUGGAUUUUUUAUCCAAUGUUUGAUCCUCCGUCUUAUCUGAAAUUUUUUAUGAUUAAUAUUUUUAUUGUUAUUAGAUGAUAAAACAUGAAUAAUACUUUAUGCGUGAUUUAUUUUUUUAUAAGUUUUUCAAGUAAGACGGACAGUGAAACGAUGGAGAUAAAAACCGUACAACUACACUUAAA
rfam:Oryza sativa (indica cultivar-group) chromosome 10, whole genome shotgun sequence.